rnacentral:tRNA from 1 species
GCGGGUCGUUAGCUCAGUUGGUAGAGCAGUUGACUUUUAAUCAAUUGGUCGCAGGUUCGAAUCC